rnacentral:rRNA from 1 species
UUGUUGGUAAGGUAAAAGCUUACCAAGGCUUCGAUCAGUAGCUGGUCUGAGAGGACGACCAGCCACACUGGGACUGAGACACGGCCCAGACUCCUACGGGAGGCAGCAGUGGGGAAUUUUGGACAAUGGGGGCAACCCUGAUCCAGCCAUGCCGCGUGAGUGAAGAAGGCCUUCGGGUUGUAAAGCUCUUUCAGCCGGAACGAAACGGUUACGGUUWAUACCCGUGACUACUGACGGUACCGGAAGAAGAAGCACCGGCUAACUACGUGCCAGCAGCCGCGGUAAUACGUAGGGUGCGAGCGUUAAUCGGAAUUACUGGGCGUAAAGCGUGCGCAGGUGGUUUUGUAAGUCAGAUGUGAAAGCCCCGGGCUCAACCUGGGAACUGCGUUUGAAACUACAAGACUAGAGUGUGGCAGAGGGGGGUGGAAUUCCGCGUGUAGCAGUGAAAUGCGUAGAGAUGUGGAGGAACACCGAUGGCGAAGGCAGCCCCCUGGGUCAACACUGACGCUCAGGCACGAAAGCAUGGGGAGCAAACAGGAUUAGAUACCCUGGUAGUCCAUGCCCUAAACGAUGUCAACUAGUUGUCGGGCCUUUACGGGCUUGGUAACGUAGCUAACGCGUGAAGUUGACCGCCUGGGGAGUACGAUCGCAAGAUUAAAACUCAAAUGAAUUGACGGGGACCCGCACAAGCGGUGGAUUAUGUGGAUUAAUUCGAUGCAACGCGAAAAACCUUACCUACCCUUGACAUGUAUCGAAGCCCGCAGAAAAGCGGGGGUGCCCGAAAGGGAACGAUAACACAGGUGCUGCAUGGCUGUCGUCAGCUCGUGUCGUGAGAUGUUGGGUUAAGUCCCGCAACGAGCGCAACCCUUGUCAUUAAUUGCCAUCAUUUAGUUGGGCACUUUAAUGAGACUGCCGG